AGUGAACGCUGGCGGUAGGCCUAACACAUGCAAGUCGAACGGCAGCACAGUAAGAGCUUGCUCUUACGGGUGGCGAGUGGCGGACGGGUGAGGAAUACAUCGGAAUCUACUUUUUCGUGGGGGAUAACGUAGGGAAACUUACGCUAAUACCGCAUACGACCUACGGGUGAAAGCAGGGGAUCUUCGGACCUUGCGCGAUUGAAUGCGCGGAUGUCGGAUUAGCUAGUUGGCGGGGUAAAGGCCCACCAAGGCGACGAUCCGUAGCUGGUCUGAGAGGAUGAUCAGCCACACUGGAACGGAGACACGGUCCAGACUCCUACGGGAGGCAGCAGUGGGGAAUAGUGGACAAUGGGCGCAAGCCUGAUCCAGCCAUACCGCGUGGGUGAAGAAGGCCUUCGGGUUGUAAAGCCCUUUUGUUGGGAAAGAAAAGCAGCAGGUUAAUACCCCGCUGUUCUGACGGUACCCAAAGAAUAAGCACCGGCUAACUUCGUG
rnacentral:rRNA from 1 species